rnacentral:rRNA from 1 species
AACGGCCUACCAAGGCGACGAUCAGUAGCCGACCUGAGAGGGUGACCGGCCACAUUGGGACUGAGACACGGCCCAAACUCCUACGGGAGGCAGCAGUGGGGAAUAUUGCACAAUGGGGGAAACCCUGAUGCAGCAACGCCGCGUGAGUGAAGAAGUAUUUCGGUAUGUAAAGCUCUAUCAGCAGGGAAGAAAAUGACGGUACCUGACUAAGAAGCCCCGGCUAACUACGUGCCAGCAGCCGCGGUAAUACGUAGGGGGCAAGCGUUAUCCGGAUUUACUGGGUGUAAAGGGAGCGUAGACGGCGAGACAAGUCUGAAGUGAAAGCCCGGGGCUCAACCCCGGGACUGCUUUGGAAACUGCCUUGCUAGAGUGCUGGAGAGGUAAGUGGAAUUCCUAGUGUAGCGGUGAAAUGCGUAGAUAUUAGGAGGAACACCAGUGGCGAAGGCGGCUUACUGGACAGUAACUGACGUUGAGGCUCGAAAGCGUGGGGAGCAA